GUUCCCCGCGCGCGGUCAUUGACCUAAGAGUCGCGGCAGCUCCUUGUCCUCGCGUCCCCGGGCGUGAGGGAGAGAAAGUGCUGGACGAGCGGCGGGACUCGGCCUCGGUGCGGAUAUAAGGAGAAGUCAGCAGUCUACAAAUCAGAAAACUUUCCUUACCAGAACUCAACCAUACUGGCACCCUGCUCUUGAACUUCCAGUCUCCAGAACUUUUAUGAAGCACUGCUGUAUACAUCAUUCUACUGAAUGAAGACCUGAAUGCCUCAGACACUUCUAGCACCAAGCUUCAUGAUCUUUAAGGUAUUGGAUCAACUGGUAUAAUGGAAAGAAAAUAAGCUGGUAGCCUCCCUCUCCCCGUGGUAGUGAAGACGGUCCGCUGUCUGCUCCACAGGACGGGGAGUCACGCCCGGACCUCGCUUCACACAGUAUGCGGGCCCCUCACUGUUGUGGCCUCUCCUGCUGCUGAGCACAGGCUCCGGACGUGCAGGCUCAGCAGCCAUGGCUCACGGCCCCAGCCACUCUGCGGCAUGUGGGAUCUUCCCGGACCGGGGCACGAACCCGUGUCCCCUGCAUUGGCAGGCGGACUCUCAACCACUGCGCCACCAGGGAAACCCAGCAUUAUUUUUUAAUUAAGCUUGAGACCAAAGAGUUGCUGUGGGGGAACAUGGAACUGAGGUUGCCUGCAGUUGCAUAGAGGGACCAAACGUAUGGCUGGAUGCUGAGAAACAGUUAGAAUGUUCCUGUAAAGAAAAGUGGCUGGCGGAUAGUGGAUCAUUAAUUACCAGAGAGUGGUAUUUUCCCCAGAGACACCGGAUAGGAAUAUGACUUGAACGUCCCACAUGGGGUCCACGCCUCCACGCUGCCUUUGAAUCACACUCAUUCCACGCUGAGCUCUUGCUUCCUAAAGCGCAUUCUAUGGUCUUCCAGUGCAGACAUAUGGCAUGCACUUCCGGCUGUUCUACAGAGCCUUCUGGCCCAGGGCUGAUUGAAUAUGUCUGUAGGCUAGAGGUCUGACACGGGCUCCACUGGGCUAAAAUCAAAGUGUGGGCAGGGCCACGUUCCUCUCUGGAGGCUCUAGGGGAGAAUCUGUUCCCUCGCCUUUUCUAGCUUCCAGAGGCCGCCCACAUUCUUUGGCUUGUGGCUCCUUCCUGAACCUGCAGUAACUUUCUUCCUGUAUCUGCUGGAGUAUCCAAGUACAAACAUAUCAAUCUGGGGAAGAGAUGAAAGAGAGGUCACAGAUACACAUUUCCAACUUCCCACCUCUCACCAGCAGAGGGCGGGUAUUCUUCUGCAGCUCAUGAGAUGACGAUGUACUUGCUGACCCACACAUGAACCAGGGAGUGGGCACAGAGCUGGGAACGAACGUCCGCUGCGUGGAGGGCAGAGGACAAGCAGAGAAACGUCUCUGGGGAGUAGCAUGAAGCAAUCACAAGGAAAGCUGCCUGGAAAAAAAAUCUAAUAAAGGAAUGCUUACAGUGAAAGUUACACUGUUUUUCCAACGGUUUUUUUUAAUCGUUUUAAAUCAAUUUUUAUUAAAAUGUCAGAUGAUUUUGAGCACCUCCUAGGAAAGGAAAGCAAAGCAAAGCAAAACGAAAGCCCUUUUCUAUGGGGAAAUGAAAGCAUUGUCUGGACUUCUUUUAAAAUGUCAAUAACUUCUAUUUGUCUGCACUAAGUAGCCAAAUGCUCUUCCAGAUGUUGCCUCAGUUUGCAGCUGGACUUCCUCCUGGGUAACCUCUGUUGUGGGAAAGCCUGUUACUGCCUGAGAGGCAGCGGGAAGGUCAGGAACACUCCCAGGACUGCCACUCGCCAGCCCCAGGGCUGCAAAGACGCAGCAGCCAGCACCGGGCAGGAAGGUUUAUCACUCUUCUUUUCCUCAUUUGAGGGCAAUCAUACACACCCGCCACCUCUUUGCAGCUGGACUUAUCAUGGCUGAAAGCAAACUACAAACAAACAAACACCUAUGUGCUCAAGUGUUGCCAGCAUCAUCCUUCAUUAUACACACACGAUUCUCCUGCCCCAUUUACCUGCUCUAGUCCACACGUGUCACCUACAGAAUUCAGGUGAUUCAUCAUGAAGCUUAAAGGGUCGGAAGAGGUUUCCCGGGUAAACAGGAGUCGAAAAAGACUGGGAAUGACCUUUUUGGUCUUCAUCUGUUCAUAAGCCUCAGUGACUUGAUAGAGCAUGAUGAACUUCAGAGCUUCGUAAAGUUUAUAUUCCAGGAUAGCGUCAGAAAAAAGGACGUUGCACAUACUUCCUCUCUUGUGAUAAUCUUUAAUUCCACUAAAUUCAGCCCACUAAAAACACAGAUGUAAAGUGAAACUUAAACAGGAAAGGUGAAUACAUACACUACUGCAUAAUUUUUAAAGUACUUAUAAAACAAACCAGAGAUUAAUAGAGGGGAAUCGAACUUUAACUUUUCAUUUUAUAUCAUUUGACCCUGAUUUUUUUAACCCUAAGUACUUAUUACUUUUACAAUAUUUCAUUUAAACUAGUUUUUCAAAAAAGCACCACCCACUAGGUAAAAUACUAAACAAGUCAGUUUCCUAAAGCUGCCUCUAAGGGUGCUGGGUGACACAAAGGACAUUCCAGUGACAAUAGUACUAAUUAGUAUUCUUUCUUUACCACUCACUGUGUGCCAGGGCGGAGUAUAAAGCGAUCUACGUGCAUUCUCUCAUUAAAACGUCACAAUAACUAACUGUACAGGGUUAAGACUAUUCAUAUUUUAGUUUUACAGAUCAGAAAACCAUGGCAGAGAAAUGGUAUUUCCCAAGGAGGAUUCAUUUCAAUGAUCUAAAAAUCUGUGUUUAUUCAGGGCAGGAAAAACAAUCUUAGUCAAAUUAUAACAUCUGUCCUGUCCCCAAGUUACACAUAGGCACAUUUCAGAAGGGCAUUUCCCAGUGCCUUGUCUGGACCUUGCACCACAUUUUUCUGGGGAAACGACAGAGGUACGUGAUUGUUAAGGUUUCCCGGCCAGUCCACAAAAGCCCUCUUAGCCCGUGAUGGGUGUAAUCAUCGUGUAGAACAGCAUCGCUCCCGUUCGUUACUGGGAAGGACACAGAAGAGCAGGGAAGGAAGUGGUCAGCUGCCAGAAGACUAUUCCUGCUGCACUUUCUACUAGCGGGGCAUAGAGCGACAUGCCUGGCAUGAGAGAAAAGGGGCUGCGUGUGGGGCGCAUGCUUUCCCCCCUAAAGACUCACCUGUGCUUUCAAUGAUUCCACACAUUUACGUAAUUUGCCAAACACAUUCGAACCUGUAUACUUCUCAGGACCAAAACUGUAUUGCUGGAUCCAAUUACAACCUUGUGAAAAGAGCAGUUUUUCAGGAAGCUUGAAAAGGAAGUAGAUGCCAACAGUGAUCAGUAUCUCAACGUGUCUGACACACAAUUUGGACUAUGUCACAGGAGAUAAUCUUAUCCCAUUCAGAAAUCUUCGUUUUAAAAGACUAUAACAACAGUUAAGUAAAAACACAGUCUUGUUUUAGAUUUGUGGAUUAAGUGAUCUGGAUCAUCUUCUUAAUGCACAGUUUCACAACUGAUGAAAACCUAAAUGCAGAUUACGUCCACAGAAACAAUCUUUUUGGAUGAAACAUUUCCCGAACUUCCUGGGUAUACCCCUUUAGAAAUUAUUUUUAGCCAAGCGCCGUUAGAGUAACACAGUACAUCAGGGGAAUGUAGAUUGUACAAGGACGCACUUUGGGGUUGGAAACCAGCUCUGUCACUCGCCUGCCGAGAGAUGACUCACCCAGCACUGUUUAUGUAACCUCUUAGCCUCAUCCUCCACUGUAAUGGAGACAAUGACAACUGUCAAAAAUCAACGACAGGACGAUCCAUUUUGCAGGCCUCUUGUUGGGACUAAGUAAGAUUAUACAAUACGUAAGAACCUGAUCCACUGGGGGUAUCUGAUACAUUUUCCCACCCAGCUGAGCUUGUGGAGCCCGGGGCCUCAGCUAAGUUCUCUGCCCUCAGCAACUAGCAGCAGGGCUGGCACACAGCAUACACUUAACCACUAGAUGCACUUAAACUACCACUAAAAACAGCUCUAAAUAAAAGAUGUGAAGGAAAUAGACCAUGUGUAGUUAUAUAUGUGCAAAUACUUUAUAUUUCUUUGCUCCUCCAUCCUUAAAGGUACACCUGUGGUUAGGCAUGCUACAUUCAAAUAAAAAUUAAGGUUAUUCGUAAGACUGUGCUGCUUCACCUGUUAAGAAAAUGAAAAAAACAAGGUACUGACUGGGAGAAAAUAUUUGCAAAUGACAUAGCUGAUGAAGCACUCGUUUUCGGAAUAUAUAAAGAAUUCUCAAAACUCAAUAUUAAAAAAAAAACAACCCAAUAAAGAAUGGGCGAGGCUUCCCUGGUGGCACAGUGGUUGAGAGUCUGCCUGCCGAAGCAGGGGACAUGGGUUCGUGCCCCGGUCCGGGAAGAUGCAACAUGCCGCGGAGUGGCUAGGCCCGUAAGCCAUGGCCGCUGAGCCUGUGCGUCCAGAGCCUGUGCUCCGCAACAGUGAGAGGCCCGCGAACCGCAAAAAAAAAAAAAAAAAAAAAAGGGCAAAAGAUCUGAACAGAGACCUCUCCAAGGAGAUAAUGUGGAUGGCAAAUAAGCACAUGCAAAGAUGCUCAACAUCAUUACCCAUUAGGGGAAUGCAAACAAAAGGCAGUGAUACAAAUGCACCCCUAUUCGAAUGGCUAAAAACCAAAACAACGAACCUGAGAAUGUAGAGCAACUGGAGCUCAUACGUUAUUGGUGGCAAAAUGGCAGAGCCAGUUUGGAAAAGAGUGGGCAGGUUCUUAUAAAGUUAAACAUAAACCUAUCAUGUGACCCAGCUAUCUCACUCCUAGGUAUUUACCCAAAAGGAAUGAAAACUUACCUUCAUACAAAAUCCUGUAUGGGAAUAUUUAUAACAGCCUGAUUCAUCAUUGCCAACAACUGGAAGCAAUCUGGGGACCUCCCUGGUAGCACAGUGGUUGAGACGCCAUGCUCCCAGGGCAGGGGACCCGGGUUCGAUCCCUGGUCGGGGAACUAGAUCCCACAUGCGUGCCGCAACUAAGAGUUCACAUGCCACAACUAAGGAGCCUGCGAGCUGCAGCUAAGGAGCCCAUCGGCCUCAACUAAGACCCAAAUAAAUAAACUGGAAGCAAUCCAGAUGUCCUUCAACUCAUGAAUAGAUAAACAAAAUAUGUGAUAUUCAUAUCGAGGAACACCAUUCAACAAUAAAAGGAGUGAACUACAAAUCCAUGGAACAACGUGGAUGAACUGCAAAUACAUUAUGCUAAGUGAAAGAGGAAGAUUCAAAAGGCUACACACCGAAUAAUUCCAUUUAUGUGACAUUCUGGAAAAGGCAAAACUAAAGGGACGGAAGACAUAUCCGUGGUCGCCUGGGGUUGGGGGUGAGAGAAGGCUUGACAAAAAGGGAUACAAGGGAUUCUCUGGGGUGGAGGUUACACACUGUGCUUGUCAACACUCAAAUAGCCAUAGAGUAGAAAAGUGAAUUUUAGCAGACCACCUAACUUAUAAAGGACAGAUGCCCUUCUCAAGAAAAGACGCCGGCGUUAAAAACAAACAAAAUGGAGUGCGACUAUCCUUCUGAGAUGAUUUGUUUGCAAACUGACAUGAGAGACAGAGGACUGGGCUAAAGGACCUUCAGUCUCCUGACGCCCUGUGUACAAAGCCACCCACAGAAGACCCCGAGCAUCUGUGUUGCAGUCCCCAUCAGUGCGACCUUUCCCGCAUUUCCGGUGUGAGGACGUACCUUCGCGAUAUCUUUUUCUUUCAUCCAGGAUGGGAAAGAGAGGCCCUGGCUGAAGACUUGGAAGAGCACCGACCUUAGCGCAUCAUAGUUGUCUCUUCUUACUUGUCGAACACAUUUAAUAUGCCGCCGCCAGAACAGCUCCUCGUAAGCCUAUGAGCACGGGGGGAGAGGCUGUCUUUAGUUCCGCUGGAUGAGAGAACAAAGAAAGCAAACCCCCUGCAUCUGCAGCAAGGUGUUACUCCCAAAUAAAGCGGACAAAGAAACAAAACCAUUAUAAGUUAUGAAUGCGAACACGUGCAAUUUUCAAGUGACCUGUGUGUGUAUGGAGUCCAUUACAUGCUACUUUAGUUGGUAACUUCCUGGAAGCCCAGAGCCAGGAAAUGUCAUUCUGGGGAGAUGAUGUCUACAACUUGAACACAGUGAAAAAUACCAUAUAUACUUUUAAGUCCAUGCUAAAGUGUCAUUUAAAUGUACUUUUCUUUUUCUUUCUCUCACUCUUUUUUUUGGCGGGGGGCGGGGAGCUUUAGCUAGUGACAAGGUUGGACAGCACUGCUGGGAAUAUUUACCAAGAUUGGUCUGAUGGAAAGUUCUAAAAAUCCUCAAGAUGUUUUAUGUCAAGAUGCCUGAAUCCCUUCAAGGACAGAAGUCUCCACUGCAUGUUCAGAUGGGUUCAUAGGCCUGGCCAGGAGGGAGCUGAAAAGGGUACAAGGCUCAAGUGUCCUGAAAUUACGGGCCUAAUCUACCCAAGUCCUCGAAGGCACUAGCUCUAGGUGAGAGGCCCGAAGGCAACGUCUAGCAGCUGUCUGGCUUUUAAUUAGAGCCACAGUGGUUCCUGGUGCCACAUCUGGUGAAGCAGAAUGGAAUGCGUGUUUCCCGAUUUUUACACACAGAUUCUCCACCCACCACGAGCUGUAUAAACAGACACACCUUCCUCAUCAGCUUGGCCUGGGGUGUCUCUCCUUUCCAUUCUCUUGCACAAUAACUGAGUAAAUCAACUUCUGCCUCCACACUGAGGUUCCCUGAACCAAAUCAAAGAUACAAGGUGGUGAAUUUUCCCUUUCCUUUCCCUUCUUGAACCCUCUCUGCACUUUAAAAAUAAGGAAACAUAUGCAUGAAAAUAUUUACUUUUGAAUCUCCUCUGCAGAUAUCCAAUCCACCUAAAAGAUAAGGGAACGAUAAUAUCAAAAUUCUACUUUAAACAGCAAGGGCAUUUUUGAAAAUUAAAGACGACAUAGCCACAUACCUUUUCAGCCGGUGCCCUAAAUAUAAAUGUAGCCUUCUGAAGUACCAGAGGGUGCCCACCAGAAAUGAAACUGCCAGCGUCACUGACCCCUUUGCGACUCUCCACGCGGUAUCCAAGGCUUGGCUGGUGACGAGUGUCCAGGAGUGCACUUGGUCAUUUCCUACAAAAAUUCAAUAAUAAUAAUACUGUAUAGCAUGGGGAACUAUAUUUAAUAUACUCGAUAAACCAUAAUGGAAAAGAAUAUAAAAAGGAAUGUAUAUAUGUGUCUGAGUCACUUUGCUGUACAGCAGAAAUUAACAUUGUAA